rfam:Myotis brandtii contig307350, whole genome shotgun sequence.
GGUGGUUCUCAGGUGAUGCACCCUGGAAUUGGGCUCCCUCCUCUCUGGUUCCUGGUGUGUCACCCAAGAACCACA